rnacentral:lncRNA from 1 species
CUCAACGUCAUUGCCCACAGCUACAGUGUGACAUUGGUAUUUUUGCCAGGCCAUUGGUAUUAUAACAGUCAUGAUUAGUAGUUGAUGUACAUCACAGGAGGUUGGUGGUAAUGGCUGGAGUGGAAUGGUAUCAAACACAUGGAUUCCACAUUUACUCCGUUCCAGCCCUUAUUAUGAGCCGUCCUCUCCUCUGCAGCCUCCGCUGAUGUAGAUGUAUAUAUCGUUACAUGAGUAUGUCUACACAUGUCUUGGUGUAUGUGGAUUCAGAUAUGUAAAGCAUAUAUGCAUACAUUAGUUUAUUUUCUUUUGGCAGAUGGUUAUGAGUGUAGUGUUUGUCCAUGAGAAGGCUUAGGAUACUGAAAUACUGCACUAAUCAUUCAACUUCGGGUGUCUUUCGACCAGGGUUGUGUUUAAGAUCAACAGUGCUGCUCUGAGGUCAAGACAAGUCUAAAGCAGUUUAGCCUCCUUCAUCUGCACCGUUCUGAAAGCACAGGAUAGGUGAAAACACUAUUGAGAAUAUCUGCUGCCCAUGUUUUGCUUUCACCUGUCCAAUUAUUUUACAUCAGUGAUGUUUAAGGCAAGGAAAGGAGACUAGAAAAGGAUGCCACUUAAAUUACAGAGAUGCAACCCUAUUGUCUGUGAAAGAGGGAGCCAUUUAGACUGUUGAGAUGCAGCCCUAGUGUCUGUGUCCUGGCCAGACUCCCUCCAUCCCUUUUGUCUAUAGGAGAGAUUCAUGGCUGACUUGUGUUGAGGAAUGAACACACUUUAACCAGAGUAAAUUCUAUCUUUAUAUCAUAAUAUACAGUACCAGUCGAAAUGUUGGACACAUCUAGUCAUUCAAGGGUUUUUCUUUCUUUGCUAUUUUCCUCAUUGUAUAAUAAUUAAAACAUCAACUAUGAAAUAACACCAUAUGGAAUCAUGUAGUAACCAAAAAAGUGUUAAAAGAAUCCAAUUAUUUAUAUUUGAGAUUCUUCAAAGUAGCCACCCUUUGCCUUGAUGACUGCUUUGCAUGCUCUUGGCAUUCUCUCUCAACCAGCUUCGGGAGGAAUGCUUUUCCAACAGUCUUGAAAGAGUUCCCACAUAUGCUGAGCACUUAUUGCCUGCAUUUCCUUCACUCUGCGGUCCAACACAUCCCAAACCAUCUCAAUUGGGUUGAGGUCGGGUGAUUGUGGAGGCCAGGUCAUCUGAUGCAGCACUCCAUCACUCUCCUUGGUUAAAUAGCCCUUACACAGCCUGGAGGUGUGUUGGGUCAUUGUCCUGUUGAAAAACAAAUGAUAGUCCCACUAAGCGCAAACCAGAUGGGAUGGAGUAUCGCUGCAGAAGGCUGUGGUAGCCAUGCUGGUUAAGUGUGCCUUGAAUUCUAAAUAAAUCACUGACAGUGUCACCAGCAAAGCACACCAUAACACCUCCUCCUCCAUGCUUCAUGGUGGGAACCACACAUGCAGAGAUCAUCCGUUCACCUACUUUGCGUCUCACAAAGACACGGCGGUUGGAACCAGAAAUCUUUAAUUUUGACUCAUCAGACCAAAGGACAGAUUUCCACCGGUUUAAUGUCCAUUGCUCGUGUUUCUUGGCCCAAACAAGUCUCUUCUUCUUAUUGGUGUCAUUUAGUAGGGGUUUCUUUGUAGCAAUUCAACCAUGAAGGCCUGAUUCACGCAGACUCCUCUGAAUAGUUGAAGUUGAGAUGUCUGUUACUUGAACUCUGUGAAGCAUUUAUUUGGGCUGCAAUCUGAGGCUGGUAACUAAUGAACUUAUCCUCUGCAGCAGAGGUAACUCUGGGUCUUCCUUUCCUGUGGUGGUCCUCAUGAGAGCCAGAUUCAUCAUAGCGCUUGAUGGUUUUUGCGUCUGUUCUUGAAGAAACGUUCAAAGUUCUUAGUGUUCCAGAUUGACUGACCUUCAUGUCUUAAAGUAAUGAUGGACUGUUGUUUCUCUUUCCUUAUUUGAGCUGUUCUUGUCAUAAUAUGGUCUUAGCCCUAUUUGGUAAAAUACCAUUUUCUGUAUACCACCCUUACCUUGUCACAACACAACUGAUUGGCUCAAAUGCAUUAAGAAGGAAAGAAAUUCCACAAAGUGACUUAACAAGGCACACCUGUUAGUUGAAAUGCUUUCUGGUGACUACCUCAUGAAACUGGUUGAGAGAAUGCCAAGAGUGUGCAAAGCUGUCAUCAAGGCAAAGAGUGGCUACUUUGAAGAAUCUCAAAUAUAAAAUAUAUUUUGAUUUGUUUACCACUUUUAUGGUUACUACAUGAUUCCAUAUAUGUUAUUUCAUAGUUUUGUUGUCUUCCCUAUUAUGUAGAAAAUAGUAAAAAUACAACAAAAAAACUUGAAUGAGUAGGUGUCCAAACUUUUGACUGGUACUAAAUAUAUAUAUAAAACAUACAUACAUACAUACAUACAUACAUACAUACAUACAUACAUACAUACAUACACACAUACACACAGCAUGGUAUGGAUAUGCCAUUGAAAUAAGUGCAUUUCUGUGUCCUGGGGGGGUUGAGGGCCUUUCACUGCUUUCUUUGGUUCAUUUUGUGUAUUUCUUCUAAGUAACGUUUAAAAACUAGGAAUGGUUUUUCCCACGGCAAAACCGUCAAAAGCUUUGUCUUUGUAAGUCAUAAUUGUCAAUAAAUGGUAUGUGUUGUCACAACG